GGGGAUUUAGCUCAGCGGUAGAGCGCUUGCCUAGCAAGCACAAGACCCUGGGUUCGGUCCCCAGCUCCG
rnacentral:tRNA from 1 species